rnacentral:rRNA from 1 species
UACGAAGGGGGCUAGCGUUGCUCGGAAUCACUGGGCGUAAAGGGCGCGUAGGCGGAUCUUUAAGUCGGGGGUGAAAGCCUGAGGCUCAACCUCAGAACUGCCUUCGAUACUGGCGAUCUUGAGUCCGGAAGAGGUGAGUGGAACUCCUAGUGUAGAGGUGGAAUUCGUAGAUAUUAGGAAGAACACCAGUGGCGAAGGCGGCUCACUGGUCCGGUACUGACGCUGAGGUGCGAAAGCGUGGGGAGCAAACAGG